AAUCAACGCUGGCGGCGUGCCUAACACAUGCAAGUCGAGCGCGAAAGGGGCUUCGGCCCUGAGUAGAGUGGCAAACGGGUGAGUAACACGUGGGUGACCUGCCUUCGAGCGGGGGAUAACGUUCCGAAAGGAGCGCUAAUACCGCAUAACAUCCUGCCUUUGGAAAGGCGGAGAUCAAAGCCGGGGAUCGCAAGACCUGGCACUUGAAGAGGGGCCCGCGCCUGAUUAGCUAAUUGGUGGGGUAAUGGCUCACCAAGGCUACGAUCAGUAUCCGGCCUGAGAGGGCGGACGGACACACUGGGACUGAGACACGGCCCAGACUCCUACGGGAGGCAGCAGUGGGGAAUUGUUCGCAAUGGGCGCAAGCCUGACGACGCAACGCCGCGUGGAGGACGAAGAUCUUCGGGUCGUAAACUCCUGUCGAGCGGGACGAAUGUUCCGCGAGCUAAUAUCUCGUGGAAGUGACGGUACCGCUAAAGGAAGCCCCGGCUAACUCCGUGC
rnacentral:rRNA from 1 species